AGAGGAAAUUUUCAAUCAGUGACAAAGAUCUGAUACUACAAGAUGAUACUGGCGUGGAGGUGGAUGAGGAUGUAUUCACUGACCUGCUGGAGGAGAGAUCAAAUAAUAUACUAUGGAAAGUUGUUGACAAGGAUUCAGAAUGCCAAGUCCUUGAUUCGUCCUCACAAACUGACACACUUUCACUGUCAUCUGAGACUGACGACAGCGCCGGACCAAGCUCCAAGAGACCUCGUUUUGAUGAGGCUUUUGAGGCAAAACAGUUUAUUAGAGGCAUUUUAGAAGAAAAUGCAGGAGGACCUGCCAUUUUGGCUCAAUAUUCAGAACAAGGAAAAUUCACAGACUCAACUCGACGGCACUUAGUCAACGUUGUGGUUGCACACAUUACAGGCAAAGAAGGACGUGUCCCAUCCAAAGAAACAAAAACCCGCUGUGCUUUAGGAAUUGUAACACUGUUCCCAUCACUAAAGGAUCCAUACUCAAGAACUGGAUAUGUAAGUACUUAAAAAUCUCAUGAUAAAACUGUGGUGUCUAGGAUCUCUCUUGUUUAUAGGUUUUACUUCAAUUUGUUACAGAUACUUCAAGAUUUUGACAUCAAAUUUGGAACAGAGACCGCUUCCAGACUUCUUGAACAGUGGGACAGUCUAAAGCCCAAGAUUAUAGCUGAAGCAAAAACACUUACUUCGACCUUGCAUCUGAACAGCCUGAUUUCAGCUGCGGAGUGUAAAGGACAAGAUGAUUCCGAAUGCCAAGGAUGGGACAGUGAGAUGUCCUCUGUUUUACUCCUGGCCUACCUUUUGCCACCUUCUGCUGGUGGUAGGAACAAAUCCACAAAGAUAAGCAUCAGAGAGGCAGUGGACCAUAUUUUGCAGUUCCACAAGUCUUGCCGCAGUCUAGCUGAACACAUUAAGAAGACUGAAGGCCUUCAACCACAUCUCCUUGCAGUUGGCUCAGCGAAGAAUGUCAUCCAUGAUUUCUACGUCGUUCUGGAUGGAAAACUUCUUCCAUGUCAGGCAAAGUCUUCCCUUUCUGCUUUUGAUGAACUUUUUAAAGCCUACUUUGUCUUUGGUGUGUCAUAUCCCCACACUGUUAACGAUUUCUGUAAAUUACACUGUAUUUUACUGUAAUAUGAACUGUAUUUUACCGUAGGGCAUGUUAUACAGUAUGUUGCUGUAUUUUGAUGUUGCAUUGUGGGAAAUGUAAUCUUUGUGCCAGUAAAAUACUGUAUUUUCUAUUUACUGUAAAAUUUACAGUUAAUUAAAAAUACUGUAUUUUAAUAGCAGGUGGUGCUAAUUUGUUUUUUGGGGAUUAACUCUCUGAUUAAGCUAUCUUAUACAAAUAAUGUAAUAUUAUUGUAUUUAUAUAUUGAUUUAAAAUGUAAAGUAAAAUUCAGAAGACUUAAACAAAGUCCUAAAAACAAUCAAACAACUAAAUUAGUGCAAGUAGAGCUGAUUUAUUUAUCAAAACACAAUAUAAUCAUCUUCAUUAAAGUAUUUUGUAUAUUCGAAUUAAUUUAUAAAUGUAAGUGUUUAAAAAUUAGAGAUAGGUUUUGCCGGUUGUUGAUGAGUGAUGAAUACCAGCUGUGAAUUUUCUCAACGCGUGUAAGCAGCCAUGACACAGGAAACCGAAAUAGUGUUCCAAUAUAAAGUGAGGGUCCUUGACAGUGGCCGAACCCGCAUACUACACGAUAUAAUGAUUCCCCACCUCGGGAGCUAUAGGGAACGAAUUGAGACACAGCCCUGGAUGUAAUCACGUCUGUGCUGAUCACGUGCCUGUACACAAACCCGCCGCAGCUCACUUGCAAAAGAUUAUCCGGUUAUUUAUUACACGUAUAGUAAACGUUUUUAAUGUUAUCAUGAAUCAAUGUUAUAGUUUUGUAUGUCACAUUAUUUUUUGAGAAGAGUCAUGACUCAACGCGGACCUUACACGCUGUUAAUUUGUGUGUGCAUAUGGCGGUACAGGCUCUUUUGCACUCUAUGACCAGCCAUCAUUAAAUCGAAAUACAGUAAAAAAAAAUGAGCGCGAAACCCUGACACUUUACAGAAAGGCACGGAUAUCCCCGCCUGAAGAAAAAAAAGAGCACAGGACAAUGGUUGCAAGUUAAACAGCUGAACAUUUCACCAUCUGCAAAGAACAUUUCACCAUCGACAUAUCAAAAUAAACGGUCCUCUUUUUCGAGUUUGACUGCGUUUGGUACAGGUCACAACAACAACGGCAGAUGUAGAGACCACACUUUCCCUUGCUUCCACUCCACGGCUGAUCAUGCUUGGUCACAACAACAACGGCAGAUGUAGAGACCACGCUUUCCCUUGCUUCCAUUCCACGGCUGAUCAUGCUUGAGGAUCCAGAUCUACAAAACAAAAAAUGGAUGCUGCCGAUUGAAGGCUAAGCCUGCGAUUGACCUACCAUUUCUUCAGCAUUUGCUGUUCACUUUGGUUGCUACUACGUGCUCAACAUCGAGUACCAAGUGGAAGCAGCCACUACUUUGGAGUUUAUUCAGAGAUUUAUUGUGAGGAUCAGCCCCGACAACAGCAAGUGCUCCUCUAACUUCCAGGUGAGCAAAAGAAGUGGGAAGAUGGUGCAAAGGAGGAACUCUGGCCUGAACCAUCAUGUAUAUAUCCACCUUUAUUAAGGACUUUAUGAAUUAAGCAAAACUAUUAAGCAACUAAAGCAAAUACAUUCUACUCAACUCACCAGAGACGGUUUCAUCGGACGCACAUGACACACUUCUGGAUCCGAACCUUACUUCCGGUUUCGCUUUUUUAAUGGUCUGACUAGUUGGUAAACUGAUUUCUUGAACAAAAGCCUCGUCGAAAAUAACAAAUGUUUUGGUUUCCGAGCUAAUCUAUGUGUUGUUUUUUUGCUUGUUAUAUAAAUAAAAUGCGUUUAAAGAACUUUGUUGUUUUUUAUUCUUAGCGGAGUUUAUCGGAAGUUCAUGCGGACCGCGACAGCCGCUUGUUUAUGUUGUUACUGAUGAAACCGUCUAUAGUUAUAACUGAAUUUGUACUAGUAUUAUUUGAUAAUACUGUGAAAUGAAACAGUGAGUAAAUGUAACAUUGGCUUUGAAAAAGCUGUUGCUGCAAGAAAUUACAAUUUACUCAGAAUAAUAUUUUGAAUGUAUAAGUUUUUGACAUUGCUUAUGACUACAUUUGAAUGUAUUGUUCAUGAAUUGAUGCUGUGAUAUGUGUGUGUAAAUGUUUUGUGUGUUACAGGAUAAAAGAUUUUAUUUUACUCAGGAAAGUAUUUUGUAUUUGAACAUUGUUAUUAUGACUGAGUUAGUUCAUGACUUGAUUUAAAAUUCUGUAAUAUGAUAUCUAUGAGUAAAUGUUAUUGCAGGUUUAAGAAAAACAGUUUGUGAUGCAAGCUGAAAGUUCAGUGUGCAAAAAUAUGAAAAUCUGAUUUCAUGUUUUUGAAAAACUAAAUUAAAUUUUAAAAACA